rnacentral:rRNA from 1 species
GACGAACGCUGGCGGCGUGCUUAACACAUGCAAGUCGAACGGGCCUUGUCCCCUUUUUUUUUGGGGGUGGGGUUAGUGGCGAACGGGUGAGUAACGCGUGAGUAACCUGCCCCUCACUUCUGGAUAACCGCUUGAAAGGGUGGCUAAUACGGGGUGUUCUGGCCUGCUCGCAUGGGUGGGUUUGGAAAGAUUCGACCGGUUUUGGUUGUUUUGGUGGGGGAUGGGCUCGCUGCCUAUCAGCCUGUUGGUGGGGUGAUGGCCUUCCAAGGCUUUGACGGGUAGCCGGCCUGAGAGGGUGGGCGGUCACACUGGGACUGAGACACGGCCCAGACUCCUACGGGAGGCAGCAGUGGGGAAUAUUGCACAAUGGGCACAAGCCUGAUGCAGCGACGCCGCGUGAGGGAUGGAGGCCUGCGGGUUGUGAACCUCUUUCGCCAGUGAAGAAGGUCCUGCUCUUUGUGGUGGGGUUGACGGUAGCUGGGUAAAUGAAGCGCCGGCUAACUACGUG